CCCCAAAUUGCUUUAGCCUUUAGAAAACAGAAGCAAUACCAAGAACGCGCCUCACGCGCGGAGAAAAACCAAAGGGAGAUCGAGAGUGCUCUCUCCCGGCCGAACACCGCCGGCUCACCUGCUGCUGUGUUCUGGUCCGGGAGAGGAUGACAACAUGGGCUAGCGACAGGUUCUAGGGCGGAGGCCUGGCUUAGGGAUGGAGGAGGGCGGCGCGAUCUCGGACGAAGAAGACCGAUCUGGACUCUUUCUUCUUGGAUCGUGGGUGACUUCCGACAUGGAGCAUCGGCGAGGUGCGAUUUGCCGGCGGGGCACGUUUUUCAGGCUGCUUCUGGCGUCACGGGUGCUUAUGAGAGCUUGGAGAUGGCUGGGUUCUCGAUCUCAUGGCAGAGGCGAGCCCAGAUGGGAUCCGAUUCCUUAUGGAAUUUGAUCUAGAACGAUGGCCAGGUUCUGGUGUGGGCGACUUUGUGGUGCGACGGUGUUGCGGUGUUGGGAUGCGAUGCAGCCGCGGGGCAGUGCAAGGUGGAGAGAUGGCGGGGUGUUAUUUUGGUUAUGUAGAGUGUAUCUGGAAAAACGUAUUUGCUUCCACAAUUGCAGCUAAUCAGCUAUAUCUCAAAGUUGAGCCACCCCCAACAGCUAAUGGCAGGAAAUUUGGUGGGAAUCCAGUCAUGGCAGUGUUUUACCUGGAGGACAAGUUUGCUCAUGGUGCAGGGAAGAAAAAGAAGAGACAUAUUCAUUGCCACCAAACCCUCCAUAUAGUAGAAUCCUUAGAUCUGGCUCCUUAUGACAAGCAAGCAACUUCUGAACAGAAUUCUCUCAAGGAAAUGAAAAAUCAAUAUUUGAUAUACACUGGUACGUUUCUGCGUGCUUUCUUGGGUUUGUGUUAAUAUUCGAUAUAGCAUUGAGGGCUCAAAUUGAACAAGCUCAGAUCCAGAGUUCGGAGACGGAAGCAAAACCGGGUUGAGUUUUAACUUCUUGGUUACUACCACUGGCUUUACUUGCACCAGAUGUGCUAUACGAAACUAACUAAGUGAUGACUUCUUUCCAUACUUAAAAUACUUGCUGCUGAAACUUGUUAGAUAUUCUACGUACUAAUAUUAGGCUUCAGACUCAGAUCACAUGCUCAACUUAAGUUGCUAGUAGCUGCUGGCAUGUUUAAAUGUUAAAGUUUAUAACAGGGCAGAGUUAUACCGGUAGUUGCUUCAAAUAUAGUUAUUUGUUCAGAUUCAUGGCUCGUGAUGGUGACUGAAGAUAUAUAUUGAAGAUGAAGCCAAGUAUGUAUGUCUAUUGUCAUCUAGAAUUAGAUAAGAUUAGAAUGUACGUUUAACUAGGAAUUAGUUUCUAGAAGUGCUUGUAGUCAAGUAUAUUGUAACGAGUAAUAGAUACAAUGACGUUCUGGGAUUGUAAAGAUUGUUUGUAUGUAAAUGUCUUCUUUUUGUUUCAA